GGGCUGGUAGCAUAUAAAGUGUAUUGAAUUGCAGAUUCAAGGGUGUUUAGAAACCCAGCCCU
rnacentral:tRNA from 1 species